GGCUUUUUGCAGUGAUUGCUCAGACUAGUGGUGUUUCAUACCCACGGCUGGCUGCAUGUGAUGACUACAAUGCUAAUCCAAACUGUGAAGGAUUGAAACUCCAUCAUGUUUGUGGAACUGACGGAAACACCUACUCACAUGAAUGUCAUCUAUGCCAAGAAAACAAAUUCAAACCAACUCCAACAAGCAUUGCAAAAGAUGAAAAAUGCUGAAACAGAAACAUACCUUGCAUUUCCUAUAUCUUGCUGAAAAUGUGCUUUCCAGCUAUCAUUGUUGUGUGUUGCAGGCACACAAAAAUCUCAAAAUUUGCAGUAGAAAUUAAAUAUAAUAAAUGUCUAAAAUUAGUUUAAAGCACUUAUAUCUGCAAUGAAUAAAGAUAC